AAUAAGUACAGUUUUACACUAUUCACGUUAACAUUUGAUCGUUUGUUUUAUUUGAAAUUUUUUUAUGGUUAGUAUUUUUAUUGCUAUUAGAUCAUAAAACAUGAAUAGUACUUUAUGUGACUAAAUAUUUUCAAUUUUUUCAUAAAUUUUUCAAAUAAAACAGACGGUCAAACAUUAGGCACGGAUAUCCACGGCUGCCCUUAUU
rfam:Oryza sativa Japonica Group DNA, chromosome 10, cultivar: Nipponbare, complete sequence.